rnacentral:rRNA from 1 species
AUUGAACGCUGGCGGCAGGCCUAACACAUGCAAGUCGAACGGUAGCACAGGAGAGCUUGCUCUCUGGGUGACGAGUGGCGGACGGGUGAGUAAGGCAUGGGGAGCUGCCCAAUCGAGGGGGAUACCAGCUGGAAACGGCUGCUAAUACCGCAUACGCCCUGAGGGGGAAAGGUGGGGACCUUCGGGCCUACCGCGAUUGGAUGCACCCAUGUGGGAUUAGCUAGUUGGUGAGGUAACGGCUCACCAAGGCGACGAUCUCUAGCUGGUCUGAGAGGAUGACCAGCCACACUGGAACUGAGACACGGUCCAGACUCCUACGGGAGGCAGCAGUGGGGAAUAUUGCACAAUGGGGGAAACCCUGAUGCAGCCAUGCCGCGUGUGUGAAGAAGGCCUUCGGGUUGUAAAGCACUUUCAGUGGGGAGGAAGGGGCGAUGCCUAAUACGCAUUGUCAUUGACGUUACCCACAGAAGAAGCACCGGCUAACUCCGUGCCAGCAGCCGCCGUAACAC